rnacentral:lncRNA from 1 species
ACUUGGAGAAUGAUUGUGGGUGAGAGCAGGAAGGAAUGGCAAGAAAGGAGAUUGGGAUAAAAGUUAGAAGAACAUUACAGGAUUCCAGGUUGGGACAUUAUCAAAAUGUCAUGGCAAAGAAUGCAUCUACUUCUGGGCCUUGAGGAAUGAACAAGGUUUGGACAGGUGACUACUGGGGCAUGAGAAGAUAUUAGAGUCCGAGAACUUGCAAGCAGAGGAAACAAUGAGUGGUUAUCAACAACAAUGUAGCUCAGUUG